GGACGACUAGCUCAGCUGGUCAGAGCAUCUCGUUUACACCGAGAGGGUCAUAGGUUCGAAUCCUAUGUCGUCCA
rnacentral:tRNA from 1 species